rnacentral:lncRNA from 1 species
UAGUGGUCUACCAGAGAGGGCACAUGUGCCUCAAUUGGCCUAUAGCAUAGGGGCUCAUUAUCCUUCCACCGCUGGUGGCGGGCGGUACUCGCUGCUCUAUGAAACCAGCCUCACGCAAUGUCCGCCACUUUAGGUGUUGGGAUGCAAAGGCUUUCGCCAAGGCACCCGAAACCCACUACAUAACUUGGAAUGGGUAGUCCACAGUUUGUAGCACUAGACCCAGGCACAUGCACCACAAUUGACAUCCACACUACCUUAUUGCCCCCGCUCGGGUUACAAGCAAUCGCUAUUUGCUCAGCGAGUGAGGGGGUUCAGGACUACCUAUUUAAGGUGGUGUUGUACUCUAUGAGCCGACGGUGUGGUAUUUACCAACAACAAAUAGUGUCAUGCAUGUGACUUGCUAGUUGACAAAGUCUGUUGUCGAGCUAGAUGUGGGCUAUGGCUGAAGCACAUUAGGAUAUAAUAUGCCUAUUUUGUUUUUUUGUUGUUUUUUGGGCCACGAUGGACAUUAUGUUGAUGUAGUGAAAUUUUUUCUUGUGUUUCCUCUUCCUACGAAGUGGAAAGUGGGUGCGUCAGAGAAGAAAGAAAGAGUGGCUAGCAUUGAUUUUACGUCAUCCCAUUGAGAUUACUAAUCAAAAGCAGAAGCAACAAUAUUUCAUGCAUAUACAACACUUGUAAUCCAUAUAAACAACUUUCCUUUAAAAUAUAAUAUAAACCACAUGAUUUAUAUCCUAGGUCGGAUAUCUCCACAAAGGGCAUGAAAACGCUCCUAGGUUUGUAGUAUAGAACUAAGAGUGUCUACUCUCACGAUUUCUUCCCGACAUAUGCAAACUAGACAGUAAUCACAUAAAAUAAAGAAAUAUGUGUUAACAUGAACUUAUAGCAUGUAUUUCAACCUAUAGAUUGUUGAUUAUUAUGGUAGAUUAUAUAAUAUAGGGGUUCCCGAAGAAAUACAUAAAAACCAAGAGCAUUAAAAUUUCCUUUUCAGAUUUGGCUAUCUGGUAAAAGGAGUUGGAGUAUCUGAGUUUCCAAAUUUGGGACGUAGCUCUAUAGAACGAAUAUAAAUACGUUGGAAAAAAUUCUACAAGGAAAGGUUUAAUACAAGUAGGGCUAAGAAAAACUCAAUGAGGCUUUGGUCGCAUGGUCACAAGACUUGAGACAAGAAACACGAAGACAACAAGGUAAUUAGUAUGAGAGUUUUCCAAAUUUGGUGUCUUGAUGUAGAAAAAAUAAAUAUAUGACAAACAUGUUUUUUGCAAGGCAUGGUAAAAUAAGUGGGAGUGAGCAAUAAAUUUUAUCAUAGAUUUAGAAGGAAUAAAUAUAUCACUAAAUACGUUUUUUCACAAUGCCAAGUUAAUCAGGCGGGACCGAGAAACAAUUGUAGUAAAGCUAGGUUGUACUAGCCCAAAACUACAUACAACAGAGGAAAAAUGAAGAAAAUGAUGGUCUACCAAAUAUGGCGCAUGAGCCUUAAGGUGCACCUAGAGGGAAGUAGAAGAAAUAAAUAUAUAAUAGGAUAUGUUUUUCGCAAAGCUAGGUGAAGUGUAGAUGUGCUCUAACUAGACUUAGAUUGCAGCGAUACAUUAUGCAUCCACAAGGCUUGGUUGCUCAUGGAAAAAGAUAGAGAGAGAAAUGUAGACGCAGGACCGGGAGAAAAACAUUCAAUGAGACGUGAUUGCACGGACAUAGAACUAGAUAUAAGACAAGAGUUAAAGAAAAAUAAAGGAACUAAAUUUUCUUCUGCACACUAAGCAUGAAUGGAGUUGUAGUAUCUGAGAUCAAAAUUUAAUUUAUUCCAAGAUGUAGAACAAAAACGUGAUACUCGUAAUGGUUACAUAGGAACAAAAGUAGAUAAGAAAAAUAGCAAAAAGAUAGUGGUCUACCAGAGAGGGCACAUGUGCCUCAAUUGGCCUAUAGCAUAGCGACUCAUUAUCCUUCCACCGCUGGUGGCGGGCGGUACUCGCUGCUCUGUGAAGCCAGCCUCACGCAAUGUCCGCCACUUUAGGUGUUGGGAUGCAAAGGCUUUCGCCAAGGCAUCCAAAACCCACUACACAACUUGGAAUGGGUGGUCCACAGUUUGUAGCACUAGACCCAGGCGCAUGCACCACAAUUGACAUCCACACUACCUUAUUGCCCCUGUUCGGGUUACAAGCAAUCGCUACUUGCUCAGCGAGUGAGGGGGGUCAGGACUACCUGUUUAAGGUGGUGAUGUACUCUAUGAGCCGGCGGUGUGGUAUUUACCAACAACAAAUAGUGUCAUGCAUGUGACUUGCUAGUUGACAAAGUCUAUUGUCGAGAUAGAUAUGGGCUAUGGCUGAAGCACAUUUGGAUAUAGUAGGCCUAUUUUGUUUUUUGUUGUUUUUGGGCCACUAUGGACUUUAUGUUGAUGUUGUUUAAUUUUUUCUUGUGUUUCCUCUUCCUACGAUGUGGAAAGUGGGUGCGUCAGAGAAGAAAGAAAGAGUGGCUAGCAUUGAUUUUACGUCAUACCAUUGAGAACACUAAUCAGAAGCAGAAGCAACAAUAUUUCAUACAUAUACAACAGUUGUAAUCCAUAUAAACAACUUUCCUUUAAAAUAUAAUAUAAACCACAUGAUUUAUAUCCUGGGUCGGCUAUCUCCACAAAGGGCAAGAAAACGCUCCAAGUUUGUAGUAUAGAACUAAAAGUGUCGAUUCUCACGAUUUCUUCCCGACAUAUACAAACUAGACAGUAAUCACACAAAAUAAAGAAAUAUGUGUUAACACGAACUUAUAGCAUGUAUUUCAACAUAUAGACUAUUGAUUAUUAUGGUAGAUUAUAUAAAAUAGGGGUUCCCGAAGAAAUACAUAAAAACAAGAGCAUUAAAAUUUCCUUUUCAGAUCUGGCUAUCUAGUAAAAGGAGUUGGAGUAACUGAGUUUCCAAAUUUGUGACGUAGCUCUAUAGAAGGAAUAUAAACACGUUGGAAAAAUUCUACAAGGAAAGGUCUAAUACAAGUAGGGCUAAGAAAAACUCAAUGAGGCUUUGGUCGCAUGGUCACAAAACUUGAGACAAGAAACACGAAGACACCAAGGUAAUUAGUAUGAGAGUUUUCCAAAUUUGGUGUCUUGAUGUAGAAAAAAUAAAUAUAUGACAAACUUGUUUUUUCGCAAGGCAUGGAUAAAUAAGUGGGGGUGAGCAAUAAAUUUCAUCAUAGAUUUAGAAGGAAUAAAUAUAUCACUAAAUACGUUUUUUUCACAAUGCCAAGUUAACCAGGCGGGACCGAGAAACAUUUCUAGCCAGGCUAGGUUGUACUAGCCCGAAACUACAUACAACAGAGGAAAAAUGAAGAAAAUGAUGGUCUACCAAAUAGGGCGCAUGAGCCUUAAGGUGCACCUAGAGGGAAGUAGAAGAAAUAAAUAUAUAAUAGCAUAUGUUUUUCGCAAUGCAAGGUAAAGUGUAGAUGUGCUCUAACUGGGCUUAGAUUGCAGCGACACAUUAUGCAUCUACAAGGCUUGGUUGCACAUGGAAAAAGAUAGAGAGAGAAAUGUAGACGCAGGACCGGGAGAAAAACAUUCAAUGAGACAUGAUUGCACGGACAUAGAACUAGAUAUAAGACAAGAGUUAAAGAAAAAUAAAGGAACUAAAUUUUCUUCUGCACACUAAGCAUGAAUGGAGUUGUAGUAUCAGAGAUCAAAAUUUAAUUUAUUCCAAGAUGCAGAACAAAAACGUGAUACUCGUAAUGGUUACAUAGGAACAAAAGUAGAUAAGAAAAAUAGCAAAAAGAUAGUGGUCUACCAGAGAGGGCACAUGUGCCUCAAUUGGCCUAUAGCAUAGCGACUCAUUAUCCUUCCACCGCUGGUGGCGGGCGAUACUCGCUGCUCUGUGAAGCCAGCCUCACGCAAUGUCCGCCACUUUAGGUGUUGGGAUGCAAAGGCUUUCUCCAAGGCAUCCGAAACCCACUACACAACUUGGAAUGGGUGGUCCACAGUUUGUUGCACUAGACCCAGGCACAUGCACCACAAUUGACAUCCACACUACCUUAUUGCCCCCGCUCGGGUUACAAGCAAUCGCUACUUGCUCAGCGAGUGAGGGGGUUCAAGACUACCUAUUUAAGGUGGUGUUGUACUCUAUGAGCCGACAGUGUGGUAUUUACCAACUACAAAUAGUGUCAUGCAUGUGACUUGCUAGUUGACAAUGUCUGUUGUCGAGCUAGAUGUGGGCUAUGGAUGAAGCACAUUAGGAUAUAGUAGGCCUAUUUUGUUUUUUGUUGUUUUUGGGCCACUAUGGACUUUAUGUUGAUGUUGUGAAAUUUUUUCCUGUGUUUCCUCUUCCUACGAUGUGGAAAGUGGGUGCGUCAGAGAAGAAAGAAAGAGUAGCUAGCAUUGAUUUUACGUCAUACCAUUGAGAACACUAAUCAGAAGCAGAAGCAACAAUAUUUCAUACAUAUACAACACUUGUAAUCCAUAUAAACAACUUUCCUUUAAAAUAUAAUAUAAACCACAUGAUUUAUAUCCUGGGUCGGCUAUCUCCACAAAGGGCAAGAAAACGCACCAAGUUUGUAGUAUAGAACUAAAAGUGUCGAUUCUCACGAUUUCUUCCCGACAUAUACAAACUAGACAGUAAUCACAUAAAAUAAAGAAAUAUGUGUUAACACGAACUUAUAGCAUGUAUUUCAACAUAUAGACUAUUGAUUAUUAUGGUAGAUUAUAUAAAAUAGGGGUUCCCGAAGAAAUACAUAAAAACAAGAGCAUUAAAAUUUCCUUUUCAGAUCUGGCUAUCUAGUAAAAGGAGUUGGAGUAACUGAGUUUCCAAAUUUGUGACGUAGCUCUAUAGAAGGAAUAUAAACACGUUGGAAAAAUUCUACAAGGAAAGGUCUAAUACAAGUAGGGCUAAGAAAAACUCAAUGAGGCUUUGGUCGCAUGGUCACAAAACUUGAGACAAGAAACACGAAGACACCAAGGUAAUUAGUAUGAGAGUUUUCCAAAUUUGGUGUCUUGAUGUAGAAAAAAUAAAUAUAUGACAAACUUGUUUUUUCGCAAGGCAUGGAUAAAUAAGUGGGGGUGAGCAAUAAAUUUCAUCCUAGAUUUAGAAGGAAUAAAUAUAUCACUAAAUACGUUUUAUCAAAAUGCCAAGUUAAUCAGGUGGGAGCGAGAAACAAUUCUAGCGAGGCUAGGUUGUACUAGCCCAAAACUACAUACAACAGAGGAAAAAUGAAGAAAAUGAUGGUCUACCAAAUAGGGCGCAUGAGCCUUAAGGUGCACCUAGAGGGAAGUAGAAGAAAUAAAUAUAUAAUAGCAUAUGUUUUUCGCAAUGCAAGGUAAAGUGUAGAUGUGCUCUAACUGGGCUUAGAUUGCAGCGACACAUUAUGCAUCUACAAGGCUUGGUUGCACAUGGAAAAAGAUAGAGAGAGAAAUGUAGACGCAGGACCGGGAGAAAAACAUUCAAUGAGACAUGAUUGCACGGACAUAGAACUAGAUAUAAGACAAGAGUUAAAGAAAAAUAAAGGAACUAAAUUUUCUUCUGCACACUAAGCAUGAAUGGAGUUGUAGUAUCUGAGAUCAAAAUUUAAUUUAUUCCAAGAUGCAGAACAAAAAUGUGAUACUCGUAAUGGUUACAUAGGAACAAAAGUAGAUAAGAAAAAUAGCAAAAAGAUAGUGGUCUACCAGAGAGGGCACAUGUGCCUCAAUUGGCCUAUAGCAUAGCGACUCAUUAUCCUUCCACCGCUGGUGGCGGGCGAUACUCGCUGCUCUGUGAAGCCAGCCUCACGCAAUGUCCGCCACUUUAGGUGUUGGGAUGCAAAGGCUUUCUCCAAGGCAUCCGAAACCCACUACACAACUUGGAAUGGGUGGUCCACAGUUUGUAGCACUAGACCCAGGCACAUGCACCACAAUUGACAUCCACACUACCUUAUUGCCCCCGCUCGGGUUACAAGCAAUCGCUACUUGCUCAGCGAGUGAGGGGGUUCAAGACUACCUAUUUAAGGUGGUGUUGUACUCUAUGAGCCGACAGUGUGGUAUUUACCAACUACAAAUAGUGUCAUGCAUGUGACUUGCUAGUUGACAAUGUCUGUUGUCGAGCUAGAUGUGGGCUAUGGAUGAAGCACAUUAGGAUAUAGUAGGCCUAUUUUGUUUUUUGUUGUUUUUGGGCCACUAUGGACUUUAUGUUGAUGUUGUGAAAUUUUUUCCUGUGUUUCCUCUUCCUACGAUGUGGAAAGUGGGUGCGUCAGAGAAGAAAGAAAGAGUAGCUAGCAUUGAUUUUACGUCAUACCAUUGAGAACACUAAUCAGAAGCAGAAGCAACAAUAUUUCAUACAUAUACAACACUUGUAAUCCAUAUAAACAACUUUCCUUUAAAAUAUAAUAUAAACCACUUGAUUUAUAUCCUGGGUCGGCUAUCUCCACAAAGGGCAAGAAAACGCACCAAGUUUGUAGUAUAGAACUAAAAGUGUCGAUUCUCACGAUUUCUUCCCAACAUAUACAAACUAGACAGUAAUCACAUAAAAUAAAGAAAUAUGUGUUAACACGAACUUAUAGCAUGUAUUUCAACAUAUAGAUUGUUGAUUAUUAUGGUAGAUUAUAUAAAAUAGGGGUUCCCGAAGAAAUACAUAAAAACAAGAGCAUUAAAAGUUCCUUUUCAGAUCUGGCUAUCUAGUAAAAGGAGUUGGAGUAACUGAGUUUCCAAAUUUGUGACGUAGCUCUAUAGAAGGAAUAUAAAUACGUUGGAAAAAUUCUACAAGGAAAGGUCUAAUACAAGUAGGGCUAAGAAAAACUCAAUGAGGCUUUGGUCACAUGGUCACAAAACUUGAGACAAGAAACACGAAGACACCAAGGUAAUUAGUAUGAGAGUUUUCCAAAUUUGGUGUCUUGAUGUAGAAAAAAUAAAUAUAUGACAAACUUGUUUUUUCGCAAGGCAUGGAUAAAUAAGUGGGGGUGAACAAUAAAUUUCAUCCUAGAUUUAGAAGGAAUAAAUAUAUCACUAAAUACGUUUUUUCACAAUGCCAAGUUAAUCAGGUGGGAGCGAGAAACAAUUCUAGCGAGGCUAGUUUGUACUAGCCCAAAACUACAUACAACAGAGGAAAAAUGAAGAAAAUGAUGGUCUACCAAAUAGGGCGCAUGAGCCUUAAGGUGCACCUAGAGGGAAGUAGAAGAAAUAAAUAUAUAAUAGCAUAUGUUUUUCGCAAUGCAAGGUAAAGUGUAGAUGUGCUCUAACUGGGCUUAGAUUGCAGCGACACAUUAUGCAUCUACAAGGCUUGGUUGCACAUGGAAAAAGAUAGAGAGAGAAAUGUAGACGCAGGACCGGGAGAAAAACAUUCAAUGAGACAUGAUUGCACGGACAUAGAACUAGAUAUAAGACAAGAGUUAAAGAAAAAUAAAGGAACUAAAUUUUCUUCUACACACUCAGCAUGAAUGGAGUUGUAGUAUCUGAGAUCAAAAUUUAAUUUAUUCCAAGAUGCAGAACAAAAACGUGAUACUCGUAAUGGUUACAUAGGAACAAAAGUAGAUAAGAAAAAUAGCAAAAAGAUAGUGGUCUACCAGAGAGGGCACAUGUGCCUCAAUUGGCCUAUAGCAUAGCGACUCAUUAUCCUUCCACCGCUGGUGGCGGGCGGUACUCGCUGCUCUAUGAAGCCAGCCUCACGCAAUGUCCGCCACUUUAGGUGUUGGGAUGCAAAGGCUUUCGCCAAGGCAUCCGAAACCCACUACACAACUUGGAAUGGGUGGUCCACAGUUUGUAGCACUAGACCCAGGCACAUGCACCACAAUUGACAUCCACACUACCUUAUUGCCCCCGCUCGGGUUACAAGCAAUCGCUACUUGCUCAGCGAGUGAGGGGGUUCAAGACUACCUAUUUAAGGUGGUGUUGUACUCUAUGAGCCGACAGUGUGGUAUUUACCAACUACAAAUAGUGUCAUGCAUGUGACUUGCUAGUUGACAAUGUCUGUUGUCGAGCUAGAUGUGGGCUAUGGAUGAAGCACAUUAGGAUAUAGUAGGCCUAUUUUGUUUUUUGUUAUUUUUGGGCCACUAUGGACUUUAUGUUGAUGUUGUGAAAUUUUUUCUUGUGUUUCCUCUUCCUACGAUGUGGAAAGUGGGUGCGUCAGAGAAGAAAGAAAGAGUAGCUAGCAUUGAUUUUCCGUCAUACCAUUGAGAACACUAAUCAGAAGCAGAAGCAACAAUAUUUCAUACAUAUACAACACUUGUAAUCCAUAUAAACAACUUUCCUUUAAAAUAUAAUGUAAACCACAUGAUUUAUAUCUAGGGUCGGCUAUCUCCACAAAGGGCAAGAAAACGCUCCAAGUUUGUAGUAUAGAACUAAAAGUGUCGAUUCUCACGAUUUCUUCCCGACAUAUACAAACUAGACAGUAAUCACAUAAAAUAAAGAAAUAUGUGUUAACACGAACUUAUAGCAUGUAUUUCAACAUAUAGAUUGUUGAUUAUUAUGGUAGAUUAUAUAAAAUAGGGGUUCCCGAAGAAAUACGUAAAAACAAGAGCAUUAAAAUUUCCUUUUCAGAUCUGGCUAUCUAGUAAAAGGAGUUGGAGUAACUGAGUUUCCAAAUUUGUGACGUAGCUCUAUAGAAGGAAUAUAAAUACGUUGGAAAAAUUCUACAAGGAAAGGUCUAAUACAAGUAGGGCUAAGAAAAACUCAAUGAGGCUUUGGUCGCAUGGUCACAAAACUUGAGACAAGAAACACGAAGACACCAAGGUAAUUAGUAUGAGAGUUUUCCAAAUUUGGUGUCUUGAUGUAGAAAAAAUAAAUAUAUGACAAACUUGUUUUUUCGCAAGGCAUGGAUAAAUAAGUGGGGGUGAACAAUAAAUUCAUCCUAGAUUUAGAAGGAAUAAAUAUAUCACUAAAUACGUUUUUUCACAAUGCCAAGUUAAUCAGGUGGGAGCGAGAAACAAUUCUAGCGAGGCUAGGUUGUACUAGCCCAAAACUACAUACAACAGAGGAAAAAUGAAGAAAAUGGUGGUCUACCAAAUAGGGCGCAUGAGCCUUAAGGUGCACCUAGAGGGAAGUAGAAGAAAUAAAUAUAUAAUAGCAUAUGUUUUUCGCAAUGCAAGGUAAAGUGUAGAUGUGCUCUAACUGGGCUUAGAUUGUAGCGACACAUUAUGCAUCUACAAGGCUUGGUUGCUCAUGGAAAAAGAUAGAGACAGAAAUGUAGACGCAGGACCGGGAGAAAAACAUUCAAUGAGACGUGAUUGCACGGACAUAGAACUAGUUAUAAGACAAGAGUUAAAGAAAAAUAAAGGAACUAAAUUUUCUUCUGCACACUAAGCAUGAAUGGAGUUGUAGUAUCUGAGAUCAAAAUUUAAUUUAUUCCAAGAUGCAGAACAAAAACGUGAUACUCGUAAUGGUUACAUAGGAACAAAAGUAGAUAAGAAAAAUAGCAAAAAGAUAGUGGUCUACCAGAGAGGGCACAUGUGCCUCAAUUGGCCUAUAGCAUAGCGACUCAUUAUCCUUCCACCGCUGGUGGCGGGCGGUACUCGCUGCUCUGUGAAGCCAACCUCACGCAAUGUCCGCCACUUUAGGUGUUGGGAUGCAAAGGCUUUCGCCAAGGCAUCCGAAACCCACUACACAACUUGGAAUGGGUGGUCCACAGUUUGUAGCACUAGACCCAGGCACAUGCACCACAAUUAACAUUCACACUACCUUAUUGCCCCCGCUCGGGUUACAAGCAAUCGCUACUUGCUCAGCGAGUGAGGGGGUUCAAGACUACCUAUUUAAGGUGGUGUUGUACUGUAUGAGCCGGCGGUGUGGUAUUUACCAACUACAAAUAGUGUCAUGCAUGUGACUUGCUAGUUGACAAUGUCUGUUGUCGAGCUAGAUGUGGGCUAUGGAUGAAGCACAUUAGGAUAUAGUAGGCCUAUUUUGUUUUUUGUUGUUUUUGGGACACUAUGGACUUUAUGUUGAUGUUGUGAAAUUUUUUCUUGUGUUUCCUUUUCCUACGAUGUGGAAAGUGGGUGCGUCAGAGAAGAAAGAAAGAGUGGCUAGCAUUGAUUUUACGUCAUACCGUUGAGAACACUAAUCAGAAGCAGAAGCAACAAUAUUUCAUACAUAUACAACACUUGUAAUCCAUAUAAACAACUUUCCUUUAAAAUAUAAGAUAAACCACAUGAUUUAUAUCCUGGGUCGGCUAUCUCCACAAAGGGCAAGAAAACGCUCCAAGUUUGUAGUAUAGAACUAAAAGUGUCGAUUCUCACGAUUUCUUCCCGACAUAUACAAACUAGACAGUAAUCACAUAAAAUAAAGAAAUAUGUGUUAACAAGAACUUAUACCAUGUAUUUCAACAUAUAGAUUGUUGAUUAUUAUGGUAGAUUAUAUAAAAUAGGGGUUCCCGAAGCAAUACAUAAAAACAAGAGCAUUAAAAUUUCCUUUUCAGAUUUGGCUAUCUGGUAAAAGGAGUUGGAGUAACUGAGUUUCCAAAUUUGUGCCGUAGCUCUAUAGAAGGAAUAUAAAUACGUUGGAAAAAUUCUAUAAGGAAAGGUUUAAUACAAGUAGGGCUAAGAAAAACUCAAUGAGGCUUUGGUCGCAUGGUCACAAAACUUGAGACAAGAAACACGAAGACACCAAGGUAAUUAGUAUGAGAGUUUUCCAAAUUUGGUGUCUUGAUGUAGAAAAAUAAAUAUAUGAAAAACUUGUUUUUUCGCAAGGCAUGGAUAAAUAAGUGGGGGUGAGCAAUAAAUUUCAUCCUUGAUUUAGAAGGAAUAAAUAUAUCACUAAAUACGUUUUUUCACAAUGCCAAGUUAAUCAGGUGGGACCGAGAAACAAUUCUAGCGAGGCUAGGUUGUACUAGCCCAAAACUACAUACUACAGAGGAAAAAUGAAGAAAAUGAUGGUCUACCAAAUAUGGCGCAUGAGCCUUAAGGUGCACCUAGAGGGAAGUAGAAGAAAUAAAUAUAUAAUAGCAUAUGUUUUUCGCAAUGCAAGGUAAAGUGUAGAUGUGCUCUAACUAGGCUUAGAUUGCAGCGACACAUUAUGCAUCUACAAGGCUUGGUUGCACAUGGAAAAAGAUAGAGAGAGAAAUGUAGACGCAGGACCGAGAGAAAAACAUUCAAUGAGACGUGAUUGCACGGACAUAGAACUAGAUAUAAGACAAGAGUUAAAGAAAAAUAAAGGAACUAAAUUUUCUUCUGCACACUAAGCAUGAAUGGAGUUGUAGUAUCUGAGAUCAAAAUUUAAUUUAUUCCAAGAUGCAGAACAAAAACGUGAUACUCGUAAUGGUUACAUAGGAACAAAAGUAGAUAAGAAAAAUAGCAAAAAGAUAGUGGUCUACCAGAGAGGGCACAUGUGCCUCAAUUGGCCUAUAGCAUAGCGACUCAUUAUCCUUCCACCGCUGGUGGCGGGCGGUACUCGCUGCUCUGUGAAGCCAGCCUCACGCAAUGUCCGCCACUUUAGGUGUUGGGAUGCAAAGGCUUUCGCCAAGGCAUCCGAAACCCACUACACAACUUGGAAUGGGUGUUCCACAAUUUGUAGCACUAGACCCAGGCACAUGCACCACAAUUGACAUCCACACUACCUUAUUGCCUCCGCUCGGGUUACAAGCAAUCGCUACUUGCUCAGCGAGUGAGGGGGUUCAAGACUACCUAUUUGAGGUGGUGUUGUACUCUAUGAGCCGGCGGUGUGGUAUUUACCAACUACAAAUAGUGUCAUGCAUGUGACUUGCUAGUUGACAAUGUCUGUUGUCGAGCUAGAUGUGGGCUAUGGAUGAAGCACAUUAGGAUAUAGUAGGCCUAUUUUGUUUUUUGUUGUUUUUGGGCCACUAUGGACUUUAUGUUGAUGUUGUGAAAUUUUUUCUUGUGUUUCCUCUUCAUACGAUGUGGAAAGUGGGUGCCGUCAGAGAAGAAAGAAAGAGCGGCUAGCAUUGAUUUUACGUCAUACCAUUGAGAACACUAAUUAGAAGCAGAAGCAACAAUAUUUCAUACAUAUACAACACUUGUAAUCCAUAUAAACAACAUUCCUUUAAAAUAUAAUAUAAACCACAUGAUUUAUAUCCUGGGUCAGCUAUCUCCACAAAGGGCAAGAAAACGCUCCAAGUUUGUAGUAUAGAACUAAAAGUGUCGAUUCUCACGAUUUCUUCCCGACAUAUACAAACUAGACAGUAAUCACAUAAAAUAAAGAAAUAUGUGUUAACACGAACUUAUAACAUGUAUUUCAACAUAUAGAUUGUUGAUUAUUAUGGUAGAUUAUAUAAAAUAGGGGUUCCCGAAGAAAUACAUAAAAACAAGAGCAUUAAAAUUUCCUUUUCAGAUCUGGCUAUCUGGUAAAAGGAGUUGGAGUAACUGAGUUUCCAAAUUUGUGACGUAGCUCUAUAGAAGGAAUAUAAAUACGUUGGAAAAAUUCUACAAGGAAAGGUUUAAUACAAGUAGGGCUAAGAAAAACUCAAUGAGGCUUUGGUCGCAUGGUCACAAAACUUGAGACAAGAAACACGAAGACACCAAGGUAAUUAGUAUGAGAGUUUUCCAAAUUUGGUGUCUUGAUGUAGAAAAAAUAAAUAUAUGACAAACUUGUUUUUUCGCAAGGCAUGGAUAAAUAAGUGGGGGCGAGCAAUAAAUUUCAUCCUAGAUUUAGAAGGAAUAAAUAUAUCACUAAAUACGUUUUUUCAUAAUGCCAAGUUAAUCAGGUGGGAGCGAGAAACAAUUCUAGCGAGGUUAGGUUGUACUAGCCCAAAACUACAUACAACAGAGGAAAAAUGAAGAAAAUGAUGGUCUACCAAAUAUGGCGCAUGAGCCUUAAGGUGCACGUAGAGGGAAGUAUAAGAAAUAAAUAUAUAAUAGCAUAUGUUUUUCGCAAUGCAAGGUAAAGUGUAGAUGUGCUCUAACUGGGCUUAGAUUGCAGCGACACAUUAUGCAUCUACAAGGCUUGGUUGCACAUGGAAAAAGAUAGAGAGAGAAAUGUAGACACAGGACCGGGAGAAAAACAUUCAAUGAGACAUGAUUGCACGGACAUAGAACUAGAUAUAAGACAAGAGUUAAAGAAAAAUAAAGGAACUAAAUUUUCUUCUACACACUCAGCAUGAAUGGAGUUGUAGUAUCUGAGAUCAAAAUUUAAUUUAUUCCAAGAUGCAGAACAAAAACGUGAUACUCGUAAUGGUUACAUAGGAACAAAAGUAGAUAAGAAAAAUAGCAAAAAGAUAGUGGUCUACCAGAGAGGGCACAUGUGCCUCAAUUGGCCUAUAGCAUAGCGACUCAUUAUCCUUCCACCGCUGGUGGCGGGCGGUACUCGCUGCUCUGUGAAGCCAGCCUCACGCAAUGUCCGCCACUUUAGGUGUUGGGAUGCAAAGGCUUUCGCCAAGGCAUCCGAAACCCACUACACAACUUGGAAUGGGUGUUCCACAGUUUGUAGCACUAGACCAUGGCACAUGCACCACAAUUGACAUCCACACUACCUUAUUGCCCCCGCUCGGGUUACAAGCAAUCACUACUUGCUCAUCAAGUGAGGGGGUUCAAGACUACCUAUUUAAGGUGGUGUUGUACUCUAUGAGCCGACGGUGUGGUAUUUACCAACUACAAAUAGUGUCAUGCAUGUGACUUGCUAGUUGACAAUGUCUGUUGUCGAGCUAGAUGUGGGCUAUGGAUGAAGCACAUUAGGAUAUAGUAGGCCUAUUUUGUUUUUUGUUGUUUUUGGGCCACUAUGGACUUUAUGUUGACGUUGUGAAAUUUUUUCUUGUGUUUCCUCUUCCUACGAUGUGGAAAGUGGGUGCCGUCAGAGAAGAAAGAAAGAGUGGCUAGCAUUGAUUUUACGUCAUACCAUUGAGAACACUAAUCAGAAGCAGAAGCAACAAUAUUUCAUACAUAUACAACACUUGUAAUCCAUAUAAACAACUUUCCUUUAAAAUAUAAUAUAAACCACAUGAUUUAUAUCCUGGGUCGGCUAUCUCCACAAAGGGCAAGAAAACGCUCCAAGUUUGUAGUAUAGAACUAAAAGUGUCGAUUCUCACGAUUUCUUCCCGACAUAUACAAACUAGACAGUAAUCACAUAAAAUAAAGAAAUAUGUGUUAACACGAACAUAUAGCAUGUAUUUCAACAUAUAGAUUGUUGAUUAUUAUGGUAGAUUAUAUAAAAUAGGGGUUCCCGAAGAAAUACAUAAAAACAAGAGCAUUGAAAUUUCCUUUUCAGAUCUGGCUAUCUGGUAAAAGGAGUUGGAGUAACUGAGUUUCCAAAUUUGUGACGUAGCUCUAUAGAAGGAAUAUAAAUACGUUGGAAAAAUUCUACAAGGAAAGGUUUAAUACAAGUAGGGCUAAGAAAAACUCAAUGAGGCUUUGGUCGCAUGGUCACAAAACUUGAGACAAGAAACACGAAGACACCAAGGUAAUUAGUAUGAGAGUUUUCCAAAUUUGGUGUCUUGAUGUAGAAAAAAUAAAUAUAUGACAAACUUGUUUUUUCGCAAGGCAUGGAUAAAUAAGUGGGGGCGAGCAAUAAAUUUCAUCCUAGAUUUAGAAGGAAUAAAUAUAUCACUAAAUACGUUUUUUCAUAAUGCCAAGUUAAUCAGGUGGGAGCGAGAAACAAUUCUAGCGAGGCUAGGUUGUACUAGCCCAAAACUACAUACAACAGAGGAAAAAUGAAGAAAAUGAUGGUCUACCAAAUAUGGCGCAUGAGCCUUAAGGUGCACCUAGAGGGAAGUAGAAGAAAUAAAUAUAUAAUAGCAUAUGUUUUUCGCAAUGCAAGGUAAAGUGUAGAUGUGCUCUAACUGGGCUUAGAUUGCAGCGACACAUUAUGCAUCUACAAGGCUUGGUUGCACAUGGAAAAAGAUAGAGAGAGAAAUGUAGACACAGGACCGGGAGAAAAACAUUCAAUGAGACAUGAUUGCACGGACAUAGAACUAGAUAUAAGACAAGAGUUAAAGAAAAAUAAAGGAACUAAAUUUUCUUCUGCACACUCAGCAUGAAUGGAGUUGUAGUAUCUGAGAUCAAAAUUUAAUUUAUUCCAAGAUGCAGAACAAAAACGUGAUACUCGUAAUGGUUACAUAGGAACAAAAGUAGAUAAGAAAAAUAGCAAAAAGAUAGUGGUCUACCAGAGAGGGCACAUGUGCCUCAAUUGGCCUAUAGCAUAGCGACUCAUUAUCCUUCCACCGCUGGUGGCGGGCGGUACUCGCUGCUCUGUGAAGCCAGCCUCACGCAAUGUCCGCCACUUUAGGUGUUGGGAUGCAAAGGCUUUCGCCAAGGCAUCCGAAACCCACUACACAACUUGGAAUGGGUGGUCCAAAGUUUGUAGCACUAGACCCAGGCACAUGCACCACAAUUGACAUCCACACUACCUUAUUGCCCCCGCUCGGGUUACAAGCAAUCGCUACUUGCUCAGCGAGUGAGGGGGUUCAACACUACCUAUUUAAGGUGGUGUUGUACUCUAUAAGCCGGCGGUGUGGUAUUUACCAACUACAAAUAGUGUCAUGCAUGUGACUUGCUAGUUGACAAUGUCUGUUGUCGAGCUAGAUGUGGGCUAUGGAUGAAGCACAUUAUGAUAUAGUAGGCCUAUUUUGUUUUUUGUUGUUUUUGGGCCACUAUGGACUUUAUGUUGAUGUUGUGAAAUUUUUUCUUGUGUUUCCUCUUCCUACGAUGUGUAAAGUGGGUGUGUUAGAGAAGAAAGAAAGAGUGGCUAGCAUUGAUUUUACGUCAUACCAUUGAGAACACUAAUCAGAAGCAGAAGCAACAAUAUUUCAUACAUAUACAACACUUGUAAUCCAUAUAAACAACUUUCCUUUAAAAUAUAAUAUAAACCACAUGAUUUAUAUCCUGGGUCGGCUAUCUCCACAAAGGGCAAGAAAACGCUCCAAGUUUGUAGUAUAGAACUAAAAGUGUCGAUUCUCACGAUUUCUUCCCGACAUAUACAAACUAGACAGUAAUCACAUAAAAUAAAGAAAUAUGUGUUAACACGAACUUAUAGCAUGUAUUUCAACAUAUAGAUUGUUGAUUAUUAUGGUAGAUUAUAUAAAAUAGGGGUUCCCAAAGAAAUACAUAAAACAAGAGCAUUAAAAUUUCCUUUUCAGAUCUGGCUAUCUGGUAAAAGGAGUUGGAGUAACUGAGUUUCCAAAUUUGUGACGUAGCUCUAUAGAAGGAAUAUAAAUACGUUGGAAAAAUUCUACAAGGAAAGGUUUAAUACAAGUAGGGCUAAGAAAAACUCAAUGAGGCUUUGGUCGCAUGGUCACAAAACUUGAGACAAGAAACACGAAGACACAAAGGUAAUUAGUAUGAGAGUUUUCCAAAUUUGGUGUCUUGAUGUAGAAAAAAUAAAUAUAUGACAAACUUGUUUUUUCGCAAGGCAUGGAUAAAUAAGUGGGGGUGAGCAAUAAAUUUCAACCUAGAUUUAGAAGGAAUAAAUAUAUCACUAAAUACAUUUUUUACAAUGCCAAGUUAAUCAGGUAGGAGCGAGAAACAAUUCUAGCGAGGCUAGGUUGUACUAGCCCAAAACUACAUACAAAAGAGGAAAAAUGAAGAAAAUGAUGGUCUACCAAAUAUGGCACAUGAGCCUUAAGGUGCACCUAGAGGGAAGUAGAAGAAUAAAUAUAUAAUAGCAUAUGUUUUUCGCAAUGCAAGGUAAAGUGUAGAUGUGCUCUAACUGGGCUUAGAUUGCAGCGACACAUUAUGCAUCUACAAGGCUUGGUUGCACAUGGAAAAAGAUAGAGAGAGAAAUGUAGACGCAGGACCGGGAGAAAAACAUUCAAUGAGACGUGAUUGCACGGACAUAGAACUAGAUAUAAGACAAGAGUUAAAGAAAAAAGGAACUAAAUUUUCUUGUGCACACUAAGCAUGAAUGGAGUUGUAGUAUCUGAGAUCAAAAUUUAAUUUAUUCCAAGAUGCAGAACAAAAACGUGAUACUCGUAAUGGUUACAUAGGAACAAAAGUAGAUAAGAAAAAUAGCAAAAAGAUAUUGGUCUACCAGAGAGGGCACAUGUGCCUCAAUUGGCCUAUAGCAUAGUGGCUCAUUAUCCUUCAACCGCUGGUGGCGGGCGGUACUCGCUGCUCUGUGAAGCCAGCCUCACGCAAUGUCCGCCACUUUAGGUGUUGGGAUGCAAAGGCUUUCGCCAAGGCAUCCGAAACCCACUACACAACUUGGAAUGGGUGGUCCACAGUUUGUAGCACUAGACCCAGGCACAUGCACCACAAUUGACAUUCACACUACCUUAUUGCCCCCGCUCGGGUUACAAGCAAUCGCUACUUGCUCAGCGAGUGAGGGGGGUUCAAGACUACCUAUUUAAGGUGGUGUUGUACUGUAUGAGCCGGCGGUGUGGUAUUUACCAACUACAAAUAGUGUCAUGCAUGUGACUUGCUAGUUGACAAUGUCUGUUGUGGAGCUAGAUGUGGGCUAUGGAUGAAGCACAUUAGGAUAUAGUAGGCCUAUUUUGUUUUUUGUUAUUUUUGGGCCACUAUGGACUUUAUGUUGAUGUUGUGAAUUUUUUUCUUGUGUUUCCUCUUCCUACGAUGUGGAAAGUGGGUGCGUCAGAGAAGAAAGAAAGAGUGGCUAGCAUUGAUUUUACGUCAUACCAUUGAGAACACUAAUCAGAAGCAGAAGCAACAAUAUUUCAUACAUAUACAACACUUGUAAUCCAUAUAAACAACUUUCCUUUCAAAUAUAAUAUAAACCACAUGAUUUAUAUCCUGGGUCGGCUAUCUCCACAAAGGGCAAGAAAACGCUCCAAGUUUGUAGUAUAGAACUAAAAGUGUCGACUCUCACGAUUUCUUCCCGACAUAUGCAAACUAGACAGUAAUCACAUAAAAUAAAGAAAUAUGUGUUAACACAAACUUAUAACAUGUAUUUCAACAUAUAGAUUUUUGAUUAUUAUGGUAGAUUAUAUAAUAUAGGGGUUCCCGAAGAAAUACAUAAAAAACAAGAGCAUUAAAAUUUCCUUUUCAGAUCUGGCUAACUGGUAAAGGGAGUUGGAGUAUCUGUGUUUCCAAAUUUGGGACGUCGCUCUAUAGAAGGAAUAUAAAUACAUUGGAAAAAAAUUCUACAAGGAAAGGUUUAAUACAAGUAGGGCUAAGAAAAACUCAAUGAGGCUUUGGUCGCAUGGUCACAAAACUUGAGACAAGAAACACGAAGACACCAAGGUAAUUAGUAUGAGAGUUUUCCAAAUUUGGUGUCUUGAUGUAGAAAAAAUAAAUAUAUGACAAACUUGUUUUUUCGCAAGGCAUGGAUAAAUAAGUGGGGGUGAGCAAUAAAUUUCAUCCUAGAUUUAGAAGGAAUAAAUAUAUCACUAAAUACGUUUUUUCAUAAUGCCAAGUUAAUCAGGUGGGAGCGAGAAACAAUUCUAGCGAGGCUAGGUUGUACUAGCCCAAAACUACAUACAACAGAGGAAAAAUGAAGAAAAUGAUGGUCUACCAAAUAUGGCGCAUGAGCCUUAAGGUGCACCUAGAGGGAAGUAGAAGAAAUAAAUAUAUAAUAGCAUAUGUUUUUCUCAAUGCAAGGUAAAGUGUAGAUGUGCUCUAACUGGGCUUAGAUUGCAGCGACACAUUAUGCAUCUACAAGGCUUGGUUGCACAUGGAAAAAGAUAGAGAGAGAAAUGUAGACACAGGACGGGGAGAAAAACAUUCAAUGAGACAUGAUUGCACGGACAUAGAACUAGAUAUAAGACAAGAGUUAAAGAAAAAUAAAGGAACUAAAUUUUCUUCUGCACACUCAGCAUGAAUGGAGUUGUAGUAUCUGAGAUCAAAAUUUAAUUUAUUCCAAGAUGCAGAACAAAAACGUGAUACUCGUAAUGGUUACAUAGGAACAAAAGUAGAUAAGAAAAAUAGCAAAAAGAUAGUGGUCUACCAGAGAGGGCACAUGUGCCUCAAUUGGCCUAUAGCAUAGCGACUCAUUAUCCUUCCACCGCUGGUGGCGGGCGGUACUCGCUGCUCUGUGAAGCCAGCCUCACGCAAUGUCCGCCACUUUAGGUGUUGGGAUGCAAAGGCUUUCGCCAAGGCAUCCGAAACCCACUACACAACUUGGAAUGGGUGGUCCACAGUUUGUAGCACUAGACCCAGGCACAUGCACCACAAUUGACAUCCACACUACCUUAUUGCCCCCGCUCGGGUUACAAGCAAUCGCUACUUGCUCAGCGAGUGAGGGGGUUCAAGACUACCUAUUUAAGGUGGUGUUGUACUCUAUAAGCCGGCGGUGUGGUAUUUACCAACUACAAAUAGUGUCAUGCAUGUGACUUGCUAGUUGACAAUGUCUGUUGUCGAGCUAGAUGUGGGCUACGGAUGAAGCACAUUAUGAUAUAGUAGGCCUAUUUUGUUUUUUGUUGUUUUUGGGCCACUAUGGACUUUAUGUUGAUGUUGUGAAAUUUUUUCUUGUGUUUCCUCUUCCUACGAUGUGGAAAGUGGGUGUGUUAGAGAAGAAAGAAAGAGUGGCUAGCAUUGAUUUUACGUCAUACCAUUGAGAACACUAAUCAGAAGCAGAAGCAACAAUAUUUCAUACAUAUACAACACUUGUAAUCCAUAUAAACAACUUUCCUUUAAAAUAUAAUAUAAACCACAUGAUUUAUAUCCUGGGUCGGCUAUCUCCACAAAGGGCAAGAAAACGCUCCAAGUUUGUAGUAUAGAACUAAAAGUGUCGAUUCUCACGAUUUCUUCCCGACAUAUACAAACUAGACAGUAAUCACAUAAAAUAAAGAAAUAUGUGUUAACACAAACUUAUAGCAUGUAUUUCAACAUAUAGAUUGUUGAUUAUUAUGGUAGAUUAUAUAAAAUAGAGGUUCCCGAAGAAAUACAUAAAAACAAGAGCAUUAAAAUUUCCAUUUCAGAUCUGGCUAUCUGGUAAAAGGAGUUGGAGUAACUGAGUUUCCAAAUUUGUGACGUAGCUCUAUAGAAGGAAUAUAAAUACGUUGGAAAAAUUCUACAAGGAAAGGUUUAAUACAAGUAGGGCUAAGAAAAACUCAAUGAGGCUUUGGUCGCAUGGUCACAAAACUUGAGACAAGAAACACGAAGACACCAAGGUAAUUAGUAUGAGAGUUUUCCAAAUUUGGUGUCUUGAUGUAGAAAAAAUAAAUAUAUGACAAACUUGUUUUUUCGCAAGGCAUGGAUAAAUAAGUGGGGGCGAGCAAUAAAUUUCAUCCUAGAUUUAGAAGGAAUAAAUAUAUCACUAAAUACGUUUUUUCAUAAUGCCAAGUUCAUCAGGUGGGAGCGAGAAACAAUUCUAGCGAGGUUAGGUUGUACUAGCCCAAAACUACAUACAACAGAGGAAAAAUGAAGAAAAUGAUGGUCUACCAAAUAUGGCGCAUGGGCCUUAAGGUGCACCUAGAGGGAAGUAUAAGAAAUAAAUAUAUAAUAGCCUAUGUUUUUCGCAAUGCAAGGUAAAGUGUAGAUGUGCUCUAACUGGGCUUAGAUUGCAGCGACACAUUAUGCAUCUACAAGGCUUGGUUGCACAUGGAAAAAGAUAGAGAGAGAAAUGUAGACACAGGACGGGGAGAAAAACAUUCAAUGAGACAUGAUUGCACGGACAUAGAACUAGAUAUAAGACAAGAGUUAAAGAAAAAUAAAGGAACUAAAUUUUCUUCUGCACACUCAGCAUGAAUGGAGUUGUAGUAUCUGAGAUCAAAAUUUAAUUUAUUCCAAGAUGCAGAACAAAAACGUGAUACUCGUAAUGGUUACAUAGGAACAAAAGUAGAUAAGAAAAAUAGCAAAAAGAUAGUGGUCUACCAGAGAGGGCACAUGUGCCUCAAUUGGCCUAUAGCAUAGCGACUCAUUAUCCUUCCACCGCUGGUGGCAGGCGGUACUCGCUGCUCUGUGAAGCCAGCCUCACGCAAUGUCCGCCACUUUAGGUGUUGGGAUGCAAAGGCUUUCGCCAAGGCAUCCGAAACCCACUACGCAACUUGGAAUGGGUGGUCCACAGUUUGUAGCACUAGACCCAGGCACAUGCACCACAAUUGACAUCCACACUACCUUAUUGCCCCCGCUCGGGUUACAAGCAAUCGCUACUUGCUCAGCGAGUGAGGGGGUUCAAGACUACCUAUUUAAGGUGGUGUUGUACUCUAUAAGCCGGCGGUGUGGUAUUUACCAACUACAAAUAGUGUCAUGCAUGUGACUUGCUAGUUGACAAUGUCUGUUGUCGAGCUAGAUGUGGGCUAUGGAUGAAACACAUUACGAUAUAGUAGGCCUAUUUUGUUUUUUGUUGUUUUUGGGCCACUAUGGACUUUAUGUUGAUGUUGUGAAAUUUUUUCUUGUGUUUCCUCUUCCUAUGAUGUGGAAAGUGGGUGGGUUAGAGAAGAAAGAAAGAGUGGCUAGCAUUGAUUUUACGUCAUACAAUUGAGAACACUAAUCAGAAGCAGAAGCAACAAUAUUUCAUACAUAUACAACACUUGUAAUCCAUAUAAACAACUUUCCUUUAAAAUAUAAUAUAAACCACAUGAUUUAUAUCCUGGGUCGGCUAUCUCCACAAAGGGCAAGAAAACGCUCCAAGUUUGUAGUAUAGAACUAAAAGUGUCGAUUCUCACGAUUUCUUCCCGACAUAUACAAACUAGACAGUAAUCACAUAAAAUAAAGAAAUAUGUGUUAACACGAACUUAUAGCAUGUAUUUCAACAUAUAGAUUGCUGAUUAUUAUGGUUGAUUAUAUAAAAUAGGGGUUCCCGAAGAAAUACAUAAAAACAAGAGCAUUAAAAUUUCCUUUUCAGAUCUGGCUAUCUGGUAAAAGGAGUUGGAGUAACUGAGUUUCCAAAUUUGUGACGUAGCUCUAUAGAAGGAAUAUAAAUACGUUGGAAAAAUUCUACAAGGAAAGGUUUAAUACAAGUAGGGCUAAGAAAAACUCAAUGAGGCUUUGGUCGCAUGGUCACAAAACUUGAGACAAGAAACACGAAGACACCAAGGUAAUUAGUAUGAGAGUUUUCCAAAUUUGGUGUCUUGAUGUAGAAAAAAUAAAUAUAUGACAAACUUGUUUUUUCGCAAGGCAUGGAUAAAUAAGUGGGGGUGAGCAAUAAAUUUCAUCCUAGAUUUAGAAGGAAUAAAUAUAUCACUAAAUACGUUUUUUACAAUGCCAAGUUAAUUAGGUGGGAGCGAGAAACAAUUCUAGCGAGGCUAGGUUGUACUAGCCCAAAACUACAUACAACAGAGGAAGAAUGAAGAAAAUGAUGGUCUACCAAAUAUGGCACAUGAGCCUUAAGGUGCACCUAGAGGGAAGUAGAAGAAUAAAUAUAUAAUAGCAUAUGUUUUUCGCAAUGCAAGGUAAAGUGUAGAUGUGCUCUAACUGGGCUUAGAUUGCAGCGACACAUUAUGCAUCUACAAGGCUUCGUUGCACAUGGAAAAAGAUAGAGAGAGAAAUGUAGACGCAGGACCGGGAGAAAAACAUUCAAUGAGACGUGAUUGCACGGACAUAGAACUAAGUAUAAGACAAGAGUUAAAGAAAAAAGGAACUAAAUUUUCUUGUGCACACUAAGCAUGAAUGGAGUUGUAGUAUCUGAGAUCAAAAUUUAAUUUAUUCCAAGAUGCAGAACAAAAACGUGAUACUCGUAAUGGUUACAUAGGAACAAAAGUAGAUAAGAAAAAUAGCAAAAAGAUAUUGGUCUACCAGAGAGGGCACAUGUGCCUCAAUUGGCCUAUAGCAUAGUGGCUCAUUAUCCUUCCACCGCUGGUGGCGGGCGGUACUCGCUGCUCUGUGAAGCCAGCCUCACGCAAUGUCCGCCACUUUAGGUGUUGGGAUGCAAAGGCUUUCGCCAAGGCAUCCGAAACCCACUACACAACUUGGAAUGGGUGGUCCACAGUUUGUAGCAAUAGACCCAGGCACAUGCACCACAAUUGACAUUCACACUACCUUAUUGCCCCCGCUCGGGUUACAAGCAAUCGCUACUUGCUCAGCGAGUGAGGGGGUUCAAGACUACCUAUUUAAGGUGGUGUUGUACUGUAUGAGCCGGCGGUGUGGUAUUUACCAACUACAAAUAGUGUCAUGCAUGUGACUUGCUAGUUGACAAUGUCUAUUGUCGAGCUAGAUGUGGGCUAUAGAUGAAGCACAUUAGGAUAUAGUAGGCCUAUUUUGUUUUUUGUUGUUUUUGGGCCACUAUGGACUUUAUGUUGAUGUUGUGAAAUUUUUUCUUGUGUUUCCUCUUCCUACGAUGUGGAAAGUGGGUGCUUCAGAGAAGAAAGAAAGAGUGGCUAGCAUUGAUUUUACGUCAUACCAUUGAGAACACUAAUCAGAAGCAGAAGCAACAAUAUUUCAUACAUAUACAACACUUGUAAUCCAUAUAAACAACUUUCCUUUCAAAUAUAAUAUAAACCACAUGAUUUAUAUCCUGGGUCGGCUAUCUCCACAAAGGGCAAGAAAACGCUCCAAGUUUGUAGUAUAGCACUAAAAGUGUCGACUCUCACGAUUUCUUCCCGACAUAUGCAAACUAGACAGUAAUCACAUAAAAUAAAGAAAUAUGUGUUAACACAAACUUAUAGCAUGUAUUUCAACAUAUAGAUUUUUGAUUAUUAUGGUAGAUUAUAUAAUAUAGGGGUUCCCGAAAAAAUACAUAAAAAACAAGAGCAUUAAAAUUUCCUUUUCAGAUCUGGCUAACUGGUAAAGGGAGUUGGAGUAUCUGAGUUUCCAAAUUUGGGACGUCGCUCUAUAGAAGGAAUAUAAAUACAUUGGAAAAAAUUCUACAAGGAAAGGUUUAAUACAAGUAGCGCUAAGAAAAACUCAAUGAGGCUUUGGUCGCUUGGUCACAAAACUUGAGACAAGAAACACGAAGACACCAAGGUAAUUAGUAUGAGAGUUUUCCAAAUUUGGUGUCUUGAUGUAGAAAAAAUAAAUAUAUGACAAACUUGUUUUUUCGCAAGGCAUGGAUAAAUAAGUGGGGGUGAGCAAUAAAUUUCAUCCUAGAUUUAGAAGGAAUAAAUAUAUCACUAAAUACGUUUUUUCACAAUGCCAAGUUAAUCAGGUGGGAGCGAGAAACAAUUCUAGCGAGGCUAGGUUGUACUAGCCCAAAACUACAUACAACAGAGGAAAAAUAAAGAAAAUGAUGGUCUACCAAAUAGGGCGCAUGAGCCUUAAGGUGCACCUAGAGGGAAGUAGAAGAAAUAAAUAUAUAAUAGCAUAUGUUUUUCGCAAUGCAAGGUAAAGUGUAGAUGUGCUCUAACUGGGCUUAGAUUGCAGCGACACAUUAUGCAUCUACAAGGCUUGGUUGCACAUGGAAAAAGAUAGAGAGAGAAAUGUAGACGCAGGACCGGGAGAAAAACAUUCAAUGAGACGUGAUUGCACGGACAUAGAACUAGAUAUAAGACAAGAGUUAAAGAAAAAUAAAGGAACUAAAUUUUCUUCUGCACACUAAGCAUGAAUGGAGUUGUAGUAUCUGAGAUCAAAAUUUAAUUUAUUCCAAGAUGCAGAACAAAAACGUGAUACUCGUAAUGGUUACAUAGGAACAAAAGUAGAUAAGAAAAAUAGCAAAAAGAUAGUGGUCUACCAGAGAGGGCACAUGUGCCUCAAUUGGCCUAUAGCAUAGCGACUCAUUAUCCUUCCACCGCUGGUGGCGGGCGGUACUCGCUGCUCUGUGAAGCCAGCCUCACGCAAUGUCCGCCACUUUAGGUGUUGGGAUGCAAAGGCUUUCGCCAAGGCAUCCGAAACCCACUACACAACUUGGAAUGGGUGGUCCACAGUUUGUAGCACUAGACCCAGGCACAUGCACCACAAUUGACAUCCACACUACCUUAUUGCCCCCGCUCGGGUUACAAGCAAUCGCUACUUGCUCAGCGAGUGAGGGGGUUCAAGACUACCUAUUUAAGGUGGUGUUGUACUCUAUGAGCCGGCGGUGUGGUAUUUACCAACUACAAAUAGUGUCAUGCAUGUGACUUGCUAGUUGACAAUGUCUGUUGUCAAGCUAGGUGUGGGCUAUGGAUGAAGCACAUUAGGAUAUAGUAGGCCUAUUUUGUUUUUUGUUGUUUUUGGGCCACUAUGGACUGUAUGUUGAUGUUGUGAAAUUUUUUUCUUGUGUUUCCUCUUCCUACGAUGUGGAAAGUGGGUGCGUCAGAGAAGAAAGAAAGAGUGGCUAGCAUUGAUUUUACGUCAUACCAUUGAGAACACUAAUCAGAAGCAGAAGCAACAAUAUUUCAUACAUAUACAACACUUGUAAUCCAUAUAAACAACAUUCCUUUAAAAUAUAAUAUAAACCACAUGAUUUAUAUCCUGGGUCGGCUAUCUCCACAAAGGGCAAGAAAACGCUCCAAGUUUGUAGUAUAGCACUAAAAGUGUCGAUUCUCACGAUUUCUUCCCGACAUAUACAAACUAGACAGUAAUCACAUAAAAUAAAGAAAUAUGUGUUAACACGAACUUAUAACAUGUAUUUCAACAUAUAGAUUGUUGAUUAUUAUGGUAGAUUAUAUAAAAUAGGGGUUCCCGAAGAAAUACAUAAAAACAAGAGCAUUAAAAUUUCCUUUUCAGAUCUGGCUAUCUGGUAAAAGGAGUUGGAGUAACUGAGUUUCCAAAUUUGUGACGUAGCUCUAUAGAAGGAAUAUAAAUACGUUGGAAAAAUUCUAUAAGGAAAGGUUUAAUACAAGUAGGGCUAAGAAAAACUCAAUGAGGCUUUGGUCGCAUGGUCACAAAACUUGAGACAAGAAACACGAAGACACCAAGGUAAUUAGUAUGAGAGUUUUCCAAAUUUGGUGUCUUGAUGUAGAAAAAAUAAAUAUAUGACAAACUUGUUUUUUCGCAAGGCAUGGAUAAAUAAGUGGGGGUGAGCAAUAAAUUUCAUCCUAGAUUUAGAAGGAAUAAAUAUAUCACUAAAUAUGUUUUUUCACAAUGCCAAGUUAAUCAGGUGGGAGCGAGAAACAAUUCUAGCGAGGCUAGGUUGUACUAGCCCAAAACUACAUACAACAGAGGAAAAAUGAAGAAAAUGAUGGUCUACCAAAUAUGGCGCAUGAGCCUUAAGGUGCACCUAGAGGGAAGUAGAAGAAAUAAAUAUAUAAUAGCAUAUGUUUUUCGCAAUGCAAGGUAAAGUGUAGAUGUGCUCUAACUGGGCUUAGAUUGCAGCGACACAUUAUGCAUCUACAAGGCUUGGUUGCACAUGGAAAAAGAUAGAGAGAGAAAUGUAGACGCAGGACCGGGAGAAAAACAUUCAACGAGACGUGAUUGCACGGACAUAGAACUAGAUAUAAGACAAGAGUUAAAGAAAAAUAAAGGAACUAAAUUUUCUUCUGCACACUAAGCAUGAAUGGAGUUGUAGUAUCUGAGAUCAAAAUUUAAUUUAUUCCAAGAUGCAGAACAAAAACGUGAUACUCGUAAUGGUUACAUAGGAACAUAAGUAGAUAAGAAAAAUAGCAAAAAGAUAGUGGUCUACCAGAGAGGGCACAUGUGCCUCAAUUGGCCUAUAGCAUAGCGACUCAUUAUCCUUCCACCGCUGGUGGCGGGCGGUACUCGCUGCUCUGUGAAGCCAGCCUCACGCAAUGUCUGCCACUUUAGGUGUUGGGAUGCAAAGGCUUUCGCCAAGGCAUCCGAAACCCACUACACAACUUGGAAUGGGUGGUCCACAGUUGGUAGCACUAGACCCAGGCACAUGCACCACAAUUGACAUCCACACUACCUUAUUGCCCCCGCUCGGGUUACAAGCAAUCGCUACUUGCUCAGCGAGUGAGGGGGUUCAAGACUACCUAUUUAAGGUGGUGUUGUACUCUAUGAGCCGGUGGUGUGGUAUUUACCAACUACAAAUAGUGUCAUGCAUGUGACUUGCUAGUUGACAAUGUCUGUUGUCAAGCUAGGUGUGGGCUAUGGAUGAAGCACAUUAGGAUAUAGUAGGCCUAUUUUGUUUUUUGUUGUUUUUGGGCCACUAUGGACUUUAUGUUGAUGUUGUGAAUUUUUUUUCUUGUGUUUCCUCUUCCUACAAUGUGGAAAGUGGGUGCGUCAGAGAAGAAAGAAAGAGUGGCUAGCAUUGAUUUUACGUCAUACCAUUGAGAACACUAAUCAGAAGCAGAAGCAACAAUAUUUCAUACAUAUACAACACUUGUAAUCCAUAUAAACAACAUUCCUUUAAAAUAUAAUAUAAACCACAUGAUUUAUAUCCUGGGUCGGCUAUCUCCACAAAGGGCAAGAAAACGCUCCAAGUUUGUAGUAUAGCACUAAAAGUGUCGAUUCUCACGAUUUCUUCCCGACAUAUACAAACUAGACAGUAAUCACAUAAAAUAAAGAAAUAUGUGUUAACACGAACUUAUAGCAUGUAUUUCAACAUAUAGAUUGUUGAUUAUUAUGGUAGAUUAUAUAAAAUAGGGGUUCCCGAAGAAAUACAUAAAAACAAGAGCAUUAAAAUUUCCUUUUCAGAUCUGGCUAUCUGGUAAAAGGAGUUGGAGUAACUGAGUUUCCAAAUUUGUGACGUAGCUCUAUAGAAGGAAUAUAAAUACGUUGGAAAAAUUCUAUAAGGAAAGGUUUAAUACAAGUAGGGCUAAGAAAAACUCAAUGAGGCUUUGGUCGCAUGGUCACAAAACUUGAGACAAGAAACACGAAGACACCAAGGUAAUUAGUAUGAGAGUUUUCCAAAUUUGGUGUCUUGAUGUAGAAAAAAUAAAUAUAUGACAAACUUGUUUUUCGCAAGGCAUGGAUAAAUAAGUGGGGGUGAGCAAUAAAUUUCAUCCUAGAUUUAGAAGGAAUAAAUAUAUCACUUAAUAUGUUUUUUCACAAUGCCAAGUUAAUCAGGUGGGAGCGAGAAACAAUUCUAGCGAGGCUAGGUUGUACUAGCCCAAAACUACAUACAACAGAGGAAAAAUGAAGAAAAUGAUGGUCUACCAAAUAUGGUGCAUGAGCCUUAAGGUGCACCUAGAGGGAAGUAGAAGAAAUAAAUAUAUAAUAGCAUAUGUUUUUCGCAAUGCAAGGUAAAGUGUAGAUGUGCUCUAACUGGGCUUAGAUUGCAGCGACACAUUAUGCAUCUACAAGGCUUGGUUGCACAUGGAAAAAGAUAGAGAGAGAAAUGUAGACGCAAGACCGGGAGAAAAACAUUCAAUGAGACGUGAUUGCACGGACAUAGAACUAGAUAAAAGACAAGAGUUAAAGAAAAAUAAAGGAACUAAAUUUUCUUCUGCACACUAAGCAUGAAUGGAGUUGUAGUAUCUGAGAUCAAAAUUUAAUUUAUUCCAAGAUGCAGAACAAAAACGUGAUACUCGUAAUGGUUACAUAGGAACAUAAGUAGAUAAGAAAAAUAGCAAAAAGAUAGUGGUCUACCAGAGAGGGCACAUGUGCCUCAAUUGGCCUAUAGCAUAGCGACUCAUUAUCCUUCCACCGCUGGUGGCGGGCGGUACUCGCUGCUCUGUGAAGCCAGCCUCACGCAAUGUCCGCCACUUUAGGUGUUGGGAUGCAAAGGCUUUUGCCAAGGCAUCCGAAACCCACUACACAACUUGGAAUGGGUGGUCCACAGUUUGUAGCACUAGACCCAGGCACAUGCACCACAAUUGACAUCCACACUACCUUAUUGCCCCCGCUCGGGUUACAAGCAAUCGCUACUUGCUCAACGAGUGAGGGGGUUCAAGACUACCUAUUUAAGGUGGUGUUGUACUCUAUGAGCCGGCGGUGUGGUAUUUACCAACUACAAAUAGUGUCAUGCAUGUGACUUGCUAGUUGACAAUGUCUGUUGUCAAGCUAGGUGUGGGCUAUGGAUGAAGCACAUUAGGAUAUAGUAGGCCUAUUUUGUUUUUUGUUGUUUUUGGGCCACUAUGGACUUUAUGUUGAUGUUGUGAAUUUUUUUUCUUGUGUUUCCUCUUCCUACGAUGUGGAAAGUGGGUGCGUCAGAGAAGAAAGAAAGAGUGGCUAGCAUUGAUUUUACGUCAUACCAUUGAGAACACUAAUCAGAAGCAGAAGCAACAAUAUUUCAUACAUAUACAACACUUGUAAUCCAUAUAAACAACAUUCCUUUAAAAUAUAAUAUAAACCACAUGAUUUAUAUCCUGGGUCAGCUAUCUCCACAAAGGGCAAGAAAACGCUCCAAGUUUGUAGUAUAGCACUAAAAGUGUCGAUUCUCACGAUUUCUUCCCGACAUAUACAAACUAGACAGUAAUCACAUAAAAUAAAGAAAUAUGUGUUAACACGAACUUAUAGCAUGUAUUUCAACAUAUAGAUUGUUGAUUAUUAUGGUAGAUUAUAUAAAAUAGGGGUUCCCGAAGAAAUACAUAAAAACAAGAGCAUUAAAAUUUCCUUUUCAGAUCUGGCUAACUGGUAAAGGGAGUUGGAGUAUCUGAGUUUCCAAAUUUGGGACGUCGCUCUAUAGAAGGAAUAUAAAUACAUUGGAAAAAAUUCUACAAGGAAAGGUUUAAUACAAGUAGCGCUAAGAAAAACUCAAUGAGGCUUUGGUCGCUUGGUCACAAAACUUGAGACAAGAAACACGAAGACACCAAGGUAAUUAGUAUGAGAGUUUUCCAAAUUUGGUGUCUUGAUGUAGAAAAAAUAAAUAUAUGACAAACUUGUUUUUUCGUAAGGCAUGGAUAAAUAAGUGGGGGUGAGCAAUAAAUUUCAUCCUAGAUUUAGAAGGAAUAAAUAUAUCACUAAAUAGGUUUUUUCACAAUGCCAAGUUAAUCAGGUGGGAGCGAGAAACAAUUCUAGCGAGGCUAGGUUGUACUAGCCCAAAACUACAUACAACAGAGGAAAAAUGAAGAAAAUGAUGGUCUACCAAAUAUGGCGCAUGAGCCUUAAGGUGCACCUAGAGGGAAGUAGAAGAAAUAAAUAUAUAAUGGCAUAUGUUUAUCGCAAUGCAAGGUAAAGUGUAGAUGUGCUCUAACUGGGCUUAGAUUGCAGCGACACAUUAUGCAUCUACAAGGCUUGGUUGCACAUGGAAAAAGAUAGAGAGAGAAAUGUAGAUGCAGGACCGGGUGAAAAACAUUCAAUGAGACGUGAUUGCACGGACAUAGAACUAGAUAUAAGACAAGAGUUAAAGAAAAAUAAAGGAACUAAAUUUUCUUCUGCACACUAAGCAUGAAUGGAGUUGUAGUAUCUGAGAUCAAAAUUUAAUUUAUUCCAAGAUGCAGAACAAAAAUGUGAUACUCGUAAUGGUUACAUAGGAGCAAAAGUAGAUAAGAAAAAUAGCAAAAAGAUAGUGGUCUACCAGAGAGGGCACAUGUGCCUCAAUUGUCUUAUAGCAUAGCGACUCAUUAUCCUUCCACCGCUGGUGGCGGGCGGUACUCGCUGCUCUGUGAAGCCAGCCUCACGCAAUGUCCGCCACUUUAGGUGUUGGGAUGCAAAGACUUUCGCCAAGGCAUCCGAAACCCACUACACAACUUGGAAUGGGUGGUCCACUGUUUGUAGCACUAGACCCAGGCACAUGCACCACAAUUGACAUCCACACUACCUUAUUGCCCCGCUCGGGUUACAAGCAAUCGCUACUUGCUCAGCGAGUGAGGGGGUUCAAGACUACCUAUUUAAGGUGGUGUUGUACUCUAUGAGCCGGCGGUGUGGUAUUUACCAACUACAAAUAGUGUCAUGCAUGUGACUUGCUAGUUGACAAUGUCUGUUGUCAAGCUAGGUGUGGGCUAUGGAUGAAGCACAUUAGGAUAUAGUAGGCCUAUUUUGUUUUUUGUUGUUUUUGGGCCACUAUGGACUUUAUGUUGAUGUUGUGAAAUUUUUUUCUUGUGUUUCCUCUUCCUACGAUGUGGAAAGUGGGUGCGUCAGAGAAGAAAGAAAGAGUGGCUAGCAUUGAUUUUACGUCAUACCAUUGAGAACACUAAUCAGAAGCAGAAGCAACAAUAUUUCAUACAUAUACAACACUUGUAAUCCAUAUAAACAACAUUCCUUUAAAAUAUAAUAUAAACCACAUGAUUUAUAUCCUGGGUCGGCUAUCUCCACAAAGGGCAAGAAAACGCUCCAAGUUUGUAGUAUAGCACUAAAAGUGUCGAUUCUCACGAUUUCUUCCCGACAUAUACAAACUAGACAGUAAUCACAUAAAAUAAAGAAAUAUGUGUUAACACGAACUUAUAGCAUGUAUUUCAACAUAUAGAUUUUUGAUUAUUAUGGUAGAUUAUAUAAAAUAGGGGUUCCCGAAGAAAUACAUAAAAACAAGAGCAUUAAAAUUUCCUUUUCAGAUCUGGCUAUCUGGUAAAAGGAGUUGGAGUAACUGAGUUUCCAAAUUUGUGACGUAGCUCUAUAGAAGGAAUAUAAAUACGUUGGAAAAAUUCUAUAAGGAAAGGUUUAAUACAAGUAGGGCUAAGAAAAACUCAAUGAGGCUUUGGUCGCAUGGUCACAAAACUUGAGACAAGAAACACGAAGACACCAAGGUAAUUAGUAUGAGAGUUUUCCAAAUUUGGUGUCUUGAUGUAGAAAAAAUAAAUAUAUGACAAAUUUGUUUUUUCGCAAGGCAUGGAUAAAUAAGUGGGGGUGAGCAAUAAAUUUCAUCCUAGAUUUAGAAGGAAUAAAUAUAUCACUAAAUACAUUUUUUCACAAUGCCAAAUUAAUCAGGUGGGAGCGAGAAACAAUUGUAGCGAGGCUAGGUUGUACUAGCCCAAAACUACAUACAACAGAGGAAAAAUGAAGAAAAUGAUGGUCUACCAAAUAUGGCGCAUGAGCCUUAAGGUGCACCUAGAGGGAAGUAGAAGAAAUAAAUAUAUAAUAGCAUAUGUUUUUCGCAAUGCAUGGUAAAGUGUAGAUGUGCUCUAACUGGGCUUAGAUUGCAGCGACACAUUAUGCAUCUACAAGGCUUGGUUGCACAUGGAAAAAGAUACAAAAAGAAAUGUAGACGCAGGACCGGGAGAAAAACAUUCAAUGAGACGUGAUUGCACGGACAUAGAACUAGAUAUAAGACAAGAGUUAAAGAAAAAUAAAGGAACUAAAUUUUCUUCUGCACACUAAGCAUGAAUGGAGUUGUAGUAUCUGAGAUCAAAAUUUAAUUUAUUCCAAGAUGCAGAACAAAAAUUUGAUACUCGUAAUGGUUACAUAGGAGCAAAAGUAGAUAAGAAAAAUAGCAAAAAGAUAGUGGUCUACCAGAGAGGGCACAUGUGCCUCAAUUGGCCUAUAGCAUAGCGACUCAUUAUCCUUCCACCGCUGGUGGCGGGCGGUACUCGCUGCUCUGUGAAGCCAGCCUCACACAAUGUCCGCCACUUUAGGUGUUGGGAUGCAAAGGCUUUCGCCAAGGCAUCCGAAACCCACUACACAACUUGGAAUGGGUGGUCCACUGUUUGUAGCACUAGACCCAGGCACAUGCACCACAAUUGACAUCCACACUACCUUAUUGCCCCGCUCGGGUUACAAGCAAUCGCUACUUGCUCAGCGAGUGAGGGGGUUCAAGACUACCUAUUUAAGGUGGUGUUGUACUCUAUGAGCCGGCGGUGUGGUAUUUACCAACUACAAAUAGUGUCAUGCAUGUGACUUGCUAGUUGACAAUGUCUGUUGUCAAGCUAGGUGUGGGCUAUGGAUGAAGCACAUUAGGAUAUAGUAGGCCUAUUUUGUUUUUUGUUGUUUUUGGGCCACUAUGGACUUUAUGUUGAUGUUGUGAAAUUUUUUUCUUGUGUUUCCUCUUCCUACGAUGUGGAAAGUGGGUGCGUCAGAGAAGAAAGAAAGAGUGGCUAGCAUUGAUUUUACGUCAUACCAUUGAGAACACUAAUCAGAAGCAGAAGCAACAAUAUUUCAUACAUAUACAACACUUGUAAUCCAUAUAAACAACAUUCCUUUAAAAUAUAAUAUAAACCACAUGAUUUAUAUCCUGGGUCGGCUAUCUCCACAAAGGGCAAGAAAACGCUCCAAGUUUGUAGUAUAGCACUAAAAGUGUCGAUUCUCACGAUUUCUUCCCGACAUAUACAAACUAGACAGUAAUCACAUAAAAUAAAGAAAUAUGUGUUAACACAAACUUAUAGCAUGUAUUUCAACAUAUAGAUUGUUGAUUAUUAUGGUAGAUUAUAUAAAAUAGGGGUUCCCGAAGAAAUACAUAAAAACAAGAGCAUUAAAAUUUCCUUUUCAGAUCUGGCUAUCUGGUAAAAGGAGUUGGAGUAACUGAGUUUCCAAAUUUGUGACGUAGCUCUAUAGAAGGAAUAUAAAUACGUUGGAAAAAUUCUAUAAGGAAAGGUUUAAUACAAGUAGGGCUAAGAAAAACUCAAUGAGGCUUUGGUCGCAUGGUCACAAAACUUGAGACAAGAAACACGAAGACACCAAGGUAAUUAGUAUGAGAGUUUUCCAAAUUUGGUGUCUUGAUGUAGAAAAAAUAAAUAUAUGACAAAUUUGUUUUUUCGCAAGGCAUGGAUAAAUAGGUGGGGGUGAGCAAUAAAUUUCAUCCUAGAUUUAGAAGGAAUAAAUAUAUCACUAAAUAUGUUUUUUCACAAUGCCAAGUUAAUCAGGUGGGAGCGAGAAACAAUUCUAGCGAGGCUAGGUUGUACUAGCCCAAAACUACAUACAACAGAGGAAAAAUGAAGAAAAUGAUGGUCUACCAAAUAUGGCGCAUGAGCCUUAAGGUGCACCUAGAGGGAAGUAGAAGAAAUAAAUAUAUAAUAGCAUAUAUUUUUCGCAAUGCAUGGUAAAGUGUAGAUGUGCUCUAACUGGGCUUAGAUUGCAGCGACACAUUAUGCAUCUACAAGGCUUGGUUGCACAUGGAAAAAGAUACAGAAAGAAAUGUAGACGCAGGACCGGGAGAAAAACAUUCAAUGAGACGUGAUUGCACAGACAUAGAACUAGAUAUAAGACAAGAGUUAAAGAAAAAUAAAGGAACUAAAUUUUCUUCUGCACACUAAGCAUGAAUGGAGUUGUAGUAUCUGAGAUCAAAAUUUAAUUUAUUCCAAGAUGCAGAACAAAAAUGUGAUACUCGUAAUGGUUACAUAGGAACAAAAGUAGUUAAGAAAAAUAGCAAAAAGAUAGUGGUCUACCAGAGAGGGCACAUGUGCCUCAAUUGGCCUAUAGCAUAGCGACUCAUUAUCCUUCCACCGCUGGUGGCGGGCGGUACUCGCUGCUCUGUGAAGCCAGCCUCACGCAAUGUCCGCCACUUUAGGUGUUGGGAUGCAAAGGCUUUCGCCAAGGCAUCCGAAACCCACUACACAACUUGGAAUGGGUGGUCCACAGUUUGUAGCACUAGACCCAGGCACAUGCACCACAAUUGACAUCCACACUACCUUAUUGCCCCCGCUCGGGUUACAAGCAAUCGCUACUUGCUCAGCGAGUGAGGGGGGGUCAAGACUACCUAUUUAAGGUGGUGUUGUACUCUAUGAGCAGGCGGUCUGGUAUUUACCAACUACAAAUAGUGUCAUGCAUGUGACUUGCUAGUUGACAAUGUCUGUUGUCGAGUUAGAUGUGGGCUAUGGAUGAAGCACAUUAGGAUAUAGUAGGCCUAUUUUGUUUUUUGUUGUUUUUGGGCCACUAUGGACUUUCUGUUGAUGUUGUGAAAUUUUUUCUUGUGUUUCCUCUUCCUACGAUGUGGAAAGUGGGUGCGUCAGAGAAGAAAGAAAGAGUGGCUAGCAUUGAUUUUACGUCAUACCAUUGAGAACACUAAUUAGAAGCAGAAGCAACAAUAUUUCAUACAUAUACAACACUUGUAAUCCAUAUAAACAACUUUCCUUUAAAAUAUAAUAUAAACCACAUGAUUUAUAUCCUGGGUCGGCUAUCUCUACAAAGGGCGAGAAAACGCUCCAAGUUUGUAGUAUAGAACUAAAAGUGUCGAUUCUCAUGAUUUUUCCGACAUAUACAAACUAGACAGUAAUCACAUAAAAUAAAGAAAUAUGUGUUAACACGAACUUAUAGCAUGUAUUUCAACAUACAUAUUGUUGAUUAUUAUGGUAGAUUAUAUAAAAUAGGGGUUCCCGAAGAAAUACAUAAAAACAAGAGCAUUAAAAUUUCCUUUUUAGAUCUGGCUAUCUGGUAAAAGGAGUUGGAGUAACUGAGUUUCCAAAUUUGUGACGUAGCUCUAUAGAAGGAAUAUAAAUACGUUGCAAAAAUUCUACAAGGAAAGGUUAAUACAAGUAGGGCUAAGAAAAACUCAAUUAGGCUUUGGUCGCAUGGUCACAAAACUUGAGACAAGAAACACGAAGACACCAAGGUAAUUAGUAUGAGAGUUUUCGAAAUUUGGUGUCUUGAUGUAGAAAAAAUAAAUAUAUGACAAACUUGUUUUUUCUCAAGGCAUGGAUUGAGAGCACCUAGAGGGGGGGGUGAAUAGGUGAUCCUGUGAAACUUGAAAACUUAAGCCACAAAACUUGGUUAAUCGUUAGCACAAUAAUUGCCAAGUGGCUAAAUAGGAAUCCUCAACAAAAUACAAUAACCAACAAAGAUCAAUCACAGAGAUGACACGGUGGUUAUCCCAUGGUUCGGCCAAGACCAACGCUUGCCUACUCCAUGUUGUGGCGUCCCAACGGACGAGGGUUGCAAUCAACCCCUCUCAAGCGGUCCAAAGACCCACUUGAAUACCACGGUGUUUUGCUUUGCUUAUCUUUAUCCCACUUGCGAGGAAUCUCCACAAAUUGGAGUCUCUCGCCCUUACACUUAAAGUUCACAAAGAAGCACGGAGUAAGGGAGGGAAGCAACACACACAAAUCCACAGCAAAAUGCGCACACACACGGCCAAGAAUCGAGCUCAAAAGACUAUCUCAAAGUUCUCACUAGAACGGAGCUCGAAUCACUGAGAAUGACAAACGAAUGCGCAAAGACUGAGUGUGGAUGAUCAAGAAUGCUCUAAGGUUGCUUGGUUUUUCUCCUCCAUGCGCCUAGGGGUCCCUUUUAUAGCCCCAAGGCGGCUAGGAGCCGUUGAGAACAAAUCUGGAAGGCCAUCCUUGCCUUCUGUCGUCGGGCGCACCGGACAGUCCGGUGCACACCGGACACUGUCCGGUGCCCGAUUUCCUUCCUUAAAUGGCGAAGCCGACCGUUGCAGAUGUGGGAGCCGUUGGCGCACCGGACAUGUCCGGUGCACACCGGACAGUCCGGUGCCCCCUUCCGACCGUUGGCUCGGCCACGUGUCGCGCGCGGAUUCCGUGGCCGACCGUUGGCCCGGCCGACCGUUGGCUCACCGGACAGUCCGGUGCACACCGGACAGUCCGGUGAAUUUUAGGCGUACGUCGCCGGUGAAUUCCCGAGAGCGGCCAGUUCGCUCGAGCCAGCCUGGCGCACCGGACACAGUCCGGUGCACCACCGGACAGUCCGGUGCCCCAGACCGAAACAGCCUCUUGGCUGUACACAGCCAACUCUUCUCUUUCCUUCUUCUUUUUGUUUCUGAUACUUAGACAAGUAUAUUAGUACACAAAACCAAUGUACUAAGACUUAGAAACAUACCUUUGCUCUUGAUUUGCACUUUGUCCAUUCAUGGGCAUAGAUUUACAUUUAAUUACUUGUGUUGGCACUCAAUCACCAAAAUACUUAGAAAUGGCCCAAGGGCACAUUUCCCUUUCAAUCUCCCCCUUUUUGGUGAUUUAUGCCAACACAACAUAAAGCAACUAGAACAAGUGCAAUAUUACUUCAAAUAAAAACUCAAAUUCAUUUUGAUUCAAUUUGGCAUAUAUGGAUCAUCCUUUGCCACCACUUGGUUUGUUUUUGCAAAUCAAACUCAAAAUCCUAUCUCUAAGUCAAAUCCACUUGUAGAGACAUAAAGAGAGGUUUUCCAUAGAAGAUUGAUUCAAGAUUCCAAAAACUCCCCCUUUUUCCCAUAAUCAACACUUCACCCCACAAGAGGCCAACUUUUGAUAAAAGAGACAAUGCAAGAGUAUUGACAAACCAAAAGCUCUAUCCUACUGUUUUCAAAGUUUCUCAAGUGGUAGCUGAUCCAUUUAUUGCUUUGGCCUUUAUUUUCUCCCCCUUUGGCGUCAAGCACCAAAACGGGAUCAAUCUUGGCCCUUUAACCCCAUUGCCUCACCAAAAUCUUCAAUUAAGAGCAAAUAGGCAAUAAGAGUUAAAAGAUGAACUUGGAAAAGUUACUCUUUUCAUCGGAGUGCAGUGGAAGUCUUGCAUGGUCCAAGUCCACCUUUUCCCUUUUAAUUCUCCUUCGAGACUAAAACAAGCAAACUCAAGCAUAUGGUUAGUCUCAAAGGGUCAAGUUGUAACACAUCUCCCCCUAAAACUGUGCAUCACUUUGCAACGGACUUGUGAGGUCCAGGGAGUGUUUGUACAACUUGAGCACCAUACUAAACAACAAAAUGCAAAAAGGAUCAUGAUCAAAAGCAUAAAUACAUGUAUGCUACAAUUCAAUCCAAGUUCCGCGAAUCUACGACAUUUAGCUCACUACGCAGCCUGCAAAAGGUCUUCUCAUCUAGAGGCUUGGUAAAGAUAUCGGCUAGCUGGUUCUCGGUGCUAACAUGAAACACUUCGAUAUCUCCCUUUUGCUGGUGAUCUCUCAAAAAGUGAUGCCGGAUGUCAAUGUGCUUUGUGCGGCUGUGUUCAACAGGAUUUUCCGCCAUGCGGAUAGCACUCUCAUUGUCACAUAGGAGUGGGACUUUGCUCAGAUUGUAGCCAAAGUCCCUGAGGGUUUGCCUCAUCCAAAGUAGUUGCGCGCAACACUGUCCUGCGGCAACAUACUCGGCCUCAGCGGUGGAUAGGGCAACGGAGGUUUGUUUCUUAGAGUUCCACGACACCAGGGACCUUCCUAAGAAUUGGCACGUCCCUGAUGUACUCUUCCUAUCGACCUUACAUCCAGCAUAGUCGGAAUCUGAGUUUCCAACCAAGUCAAAGGUAGACCCCUUUGGAUACCAGAGCCCGAAGCAAGGCGUAGCAACCAAAUAUCUAAGAAUUCGCUUCACCGCCACUAAGUGACACUCCUUAGGAUUGGAUUGAAAUCUAGCACACAUGCAUACGCUAAGCAUAAUAUCCGGUCUACUAGCACAUAAAUAAAGUAAAGACCCUAUCAUUGACCGGUAUGCUUUUUGAUCAACGGACUUACCUCCUUUGUUGAGGUCGGUGUGUCCGUCGGUCCCCAUCGGAGUCUUUGCGGGCUUGGCGUCCUUCAUCCCAAACCGCUUCAGCAGGUCUUGCGUGUACUUUGUUUGGGAGAUGAAGGUGCCGUCCUUGAGUUGCUUCACUUGAAACCCAAGGAAGUAGUUCAACUCGCCCAUCAUCGACAUCUCGAAUUUCUGCAUCAUAACCCUGCUAAACUCUUCACAAGACUUUUGGUUAGUAGAACCAAAUAUUAUGUCAUCGACAUAAAUUUGGCACACAAACAAAUCACCAUCACAUGUCUUAGUAAAAAGAGUUGGAUCGGCUUUCCCAACCUUGAAGGCAUUUGCAAUUAAAAAGUCUUUAAGGCAUUCAUACCAUGCUCUUGGGGCUUGCUUAAGUCCAUAGAGCGCCUUAGAGAGCUUACACACGUGGUCGGGGUACCGUUCAUCCUCGAAGCCAGGGGGUUGCUCUACGUACACCUCCUCCUUGAUUGGCCCGUUGAGGAAAGCGCUCUUCACAUCCAUUUGGAACAACCUGAAAGAAUGGUGAGCGACAUAUGCUAGCAAGAUACGAAUUGAUUCUAGCCUAGCCACAGGAGCAAACGUCUCCUCAAAGUCCAAACCUGCGACUUGGGCAUAACCUUUUGCCACAAGUCGAGCCUUGUUCCUCGUCACCACCCCGUGCUCGUCCUGUUUGUUGCGGAAUACCCACUUGGUUCCCACAACGUUUUGCUUGGGACGAGGCACCAGUGUCCAAACUUCAUUUCGCUUGAAGUUGUUGAGUUCCUCCUGCAUGGCUAACACCCAGUCCGGAUCUAGCAAGGCCUCUUCUACCCUGAAAGGCUCAAUAGAAGAGACAAAGGAGUAAUGCUCACAAAAAUUAACUAAUCGAGAUCGAGUAGUUACUCCCUUGCUAAUAUCACCCAGAAUUUGGUCGACGGGAUGAUCCCUUUGAAUCAUCGCUCGAACUUGGGUUGGAGGUGCCGGUUGUGCUUCUUCCUCCAUCACAUGAUCAUCUUGUGCUCCCCAUUGAUCACACUCCUCUUGAUGAACCUGUUCAUCGUUUUGAGUUGGGGGAUGCAUCAUUGUUGAGGAAGAAGGUUGAUCUUGCUCCAAUUGUUCCUGUGGUCGCACAUCACCAAUCGCCAUGGUGCGCAUAGCGGCCGUUGGAACGUCUUCUUCAUCUAAAUCAUCAAGAUCAACAACUUGCUCUCUUGGAGAGCCAUUAGUCUCAUCAAAUACAACGUCGCUAGAGACUUCAACCAAACCCGAUGAUUUGUUGAAGACUCUAUACGCCUUUGUAUUUGACUCAUAACCUAACAAAAACCCUUCUACAGCUUUGGGAGCAAACUUAGAAUUUCUACCCUUCUUUACUAGAAUGUAGCACUUGCUCCCAAAUACACGAAAGUAAGAUACAUUGGGUUUGUUACCGGUUAGUAGCUCAUACGAAGUCUUCUUGAGGAGGCGAUGAAGGUAGACCCUGUUGAUGGCGUGGCAAGCCAUGUUCACGGCUUCCGACUAGAAACACUCGGGGGUCUUGAAUUCUCCAAGCAUCGUCCUCGCCAUAUCGAUUAGUGUCCUGUUCUUCCUCUCUACCACACCAUUUUGCUGUGGUGUGUAGGGAGCGGAGAACUCGUGCUUGAUCCCUUCCUCCUCAAGGAACUCCUCCACUUGAAGAUUCUUGAAAUCGGACCCGUUGUCGCUCCUUAUCUUCUUCACCUUGAGCUCAAACUCAUUUUGAGCUCUCCUAAGGAAGCGCUUGAGGGUCCCUUGGGUUUCAGACUUAUCCUGCAAAAAGAACACCCAAGUGAAGCGGGAAAAGUCAUCGACAAUAACUAGACCAUACUUACUUCCCCCUAUGCUCAGAUAGGCGACGGGUCCGAAGAGGUCCAUAUGCAGCAGCUCCAGGGGUCUUGAAGUGGUCAUCACAUUCUUGCUGUGAUGCGCUCCUCCCACUUGUUUACCUGCUUGACAAGCUGCACAAGGUCUAUCUUUUUCGAAUUGUACGUUAGUCAAACCUAUCACGUGUUCUCCCUUUAGAAGCUUGUGAAGGUUCUUCAUCCCCACAUGUGCUAAGCGGCGAUGCCACAGCCAGCCCAUGCUAGUCUUAGCAAUUAAGCAUGCAUCUAGACCGGCCUCUUCUUUUGCAAAAUCAACUAAGUAAAGCUUGCCGUCUAAUACACCCUUAAAAGCUAGUGAACCAUCACUUCUUCUAAAGACAGACACAUCUACAUUUGUAAAUAGACAGUUAUAUCCCAUAUUGCAUAAUUGACUAACAGAUAACAAAUUAUAUCCAAGAGACUCUACUAAAAACACAUUAGAGAUAGAGUGCUCAUUAGAAAUUGCAAUUUUACCUAACCCUUUUACCUUGCCUUGAUUCCCAUCACCGAAUAUAAUUGAAUCUUGGGAAUCCUUAUUCUUGACGUAGGAGGUGAACAUCUUCUUCUCCCCCGUCAUAUGGUUUGUGCAUCCGCUGUCGAUAAUCCAGCUUGAACCCCCGGAUGCAUAAACCUGCAAGGCAAAUUUAGGCUUGGGACUUAGGUACCCAACUCUUGUUGGGUCCUACAAGGUUAGUCACAAUUUCCUUAGGGAUCCAAAUGCAAGUUUUAUCACCCUUGCAUUUUGCCCCUAACUUCCUAGCAAUCACCUUUCUAUCCUUUCUACAAAUUGCAAAGGAAGCAUUCAAAGCAUGAUAUAUUGUAGAAGGCUCAUUAACUUUCCUAGGCACAUUAACAACAUUUCUCCUAGGCAUAUUAUGAACAACAUUUCUCCUACCAACGUUCCUAUCAUGCUCAUAGAAAGAACUAGAAGCAACCAUGUCAUGAUAAACAUAUGAAUCAAAAACAUUAUAACUUCUAUUUGCAUUUCUAGUAUGUCUCCUAUCAUGAUACAUAAAAGCAUGGUUCUUUUUAGCACUACCAGCCAUAGGGGCCUUCCCUUUCUCCUUGGCGGAAAUGGGAGCCUUAUGGCUUGUUAAGUUCUUGGCUUCCCUCUUGAAGCCAAGUCCAUCCUUAAUUGAGGGAUGUCUACCAAUCGUAUAGGCAUCCCUUGCAAAUUUUAAUUUAUCAAAUUCGCUUUUGCUAGUCUUAAGUUGGGCAUUAAGACUAGCCACUUCAUCAUUCAAUUUAGAAAUUGAAACUAGGUGUUCACUACAAGCAUCAACAUUAAAAUCUUUACACCUAGUGCAAACCAUAACAUGUUCUACACAAGAGUUAGAUUUACUAGCCACUUCUAGUUUAGCAUUUAAAUCAUUAUUAACACCUUUUAAAGUAGCAAUGGUUUCAUGACAAGAAGAUAAUUCACUAGAAAGCACUUCAUUUCUUUUAACUUCUAAAGCAUAAGAUUUUUGUGCCUCUACAAAUUUGUCAUGCUCUUCAUAUAAAAGAUCCUCUUGUUUUUCUAAGAGUCUAUCCUUUUCAUUCAAGGCAUCAAUCAAUUCAUUAAUCUUUUCUACUUUAGUUCUAUCCAAUCCCUUGAACAAACUAGAGUAAUCUAUUUCUUCAUCACUGGACUCAUCAUCACUAGAAGAAUCAUAAGUGACAUUGUUUUGAUUGCAUACCUUCUUCUCCCUUGCCAUAAGGCAUGUGUGACGCUCGUUGGGGAAGAGGGAUGACUUGUUGAAGGCGGUGGCGGCGAGUCCUUCAUUGUCGGAGUCGGAGGAGAAGCAAUCUGAAUCCCACUCCUUUCCGAUAUGUGCCUCGCCCUUGGCCUUCUUGUAAUGCUUCUUCUUCUCCCUUUUGUUCCCCUUUUCCUGGUCACUUUCAUUAUCGGGACAGUUAGCAAUGAAAUGACCAAUCUUACCGCAUUUGAAGCACGAGCGCUUCUCCUUUGUCUUGGUCUUGCUUGGCUGUCCCUUGCGACCUUUAAGCGCCGUCUUGAAGCGCUUAAUGAUGAGGGCCAUCUCCUCAUUAUUUAGCCCGGCCGCCUCAACUUGCGCCACCUUGCUCGGUAGCGCCUCCUUGCUCCUCGUUGCCUUGAGAGCAAUGGGUUGAGGCUCAUGAAUAGGACCGUUCAACGCGUCGUCCACAUAUCUUGCCUCCUUGAUCAUCAUUCGCCCGCUUACGAACUUCCCCAGAACUUCUUCGGGCGACAUCUUGGUGUACCUAGGAUUUUCACGAAUAUUGUUCACCAAAUGAGGAUCAAGAACGGUAAAGGACCUUAGCAUUAGGCGGACGACGUCGUGAUCCGUCCAUCGCGUGCUUCCGUAGCUCCUUAUUUUGUUGAUAAGGGUCUUGAGCCGGUUGUAUGUUUGAGUUGGCUCCUCGCCCCUUAUCAUUGCGAACCGUCCAAGCUCGCCCUCCACCAACUCCAUCUUGGUGAGUAAGGUGACAUCGUUCCCCUCAUGAGAGAUCUUGAGGGUGUCCCAGAUCUGCUUGGCAUUGUCCAAGCCGCUCACCUUAUGGUACUCGUCCCUGCACAAAGAGGCUAGCAACACAGUAGUAGCUUGUGCAUUUUUAUGAAUCUGUUCAUUAAUAAACAUGGGACUAUCCGUACUAUCAAAGUGCAUUCCACUUUCUACAAUCUCCCAUAUGCUAGGAUGGAGAGAGAACAAGUGACUACGCAUUUUGUGACUCCAAAAUCCGUAGUCCUCUCCAUCAAAAUGAGGAGGUUUACUAAGUGGAAUAGAUAAUAACUGAGCAUUAGUACUUUGAGGAAUACGAGAGUAAUCAAAAGAAAAGUACGAAUUGACCGGUUUCUUUCUCUCGUAUUCGUUGUGGUCGUCGUCCUUUUGGGAGGAAGUAGACUCAUCGCUGUCGUAGUAGACGAUCUCCUUGAUGUGUCUUGUCUUCUUCUUCUUCCCAUCUUUGCGUCUGUGGCCCGAGCCCGAGUCGUUGGACUUGUCAUCCCUUGGCUCGUUGACGAAGGACUCCUUCUCCUUGUCGUUGAUCACGAUUCCCUUCCCUUUAGGAUCCAUCUCUUCGGGCGGUUAGUCCCUUUGUGAAGAGAACGGCUCUGAUACCAAUUGAGAGCACCUAGAGGGGGGGUGAAUAGGUGAUCCUGUGAAACUUGAAAACUUAAGCCACAAAACUUGGUUAAUCGUUAGCACAAUAAUUGCCAAGUGGCUAAAUAGGAAUCCUCAACAAAAUACAAUAACCAACAAAGAUCAAUCACAGAGAUGACACGGUGGUUAUCCCGUGGUUCGGCCAAGACCAACGCUUGCCUACUCCACGUUGUGGCGUCCCAACGGACGAGGGUUGCAAUCAACCCCUCUCAAGCGGUCCAAAGACCCACUUGAAUACCACGGUGUUUUGCUUUGCUUAUCUUUAUCCCACUUGCGAGGAAUCUCCACAAAUUGGAGUCUCUCGCCCUUACACUUAAAGUUCACAAAGAAGCACGGAGUAAGGGAGGGAAGCAACACACACAAAUCCACAGCAAAAUGCGCACACACACGGCCAAGAAUCGAGCUCAAAAGACUAUCUCAAAGUUCUCACUAGAACGGAGCUCGAAUCACUGAGAAUGACAAACGAAUGCGCAAAGACUGAGUGUGGAUGAUCAAGAAUGCUCUAAGGUUGCUUGGUUUUUCUCCUCCAUGCGCCUAGGGGUCCCUUUUAUAGCCCCAAGGCGGCUAGGAGCCGUUGAGAACAAAUCUGGAAGGCCAUCCUUGCCUUCUGUCGUCGGGCGCACCGGACAGUCCGGUGCACACCGGACACUGUCCGGUGCCCGAUUUCCUUCCUUAAAUGGCGAAGCCGACCGUUGCAGAUGUGGGAGCCGUUGGCGCACCGGACAUGUCCGGUGCACACCAGACAGUCCGGUGCCCCCUUCCGACCGUUGGCUCGGCCACGUGUCGCGCGCGGAUUCCGCGGCCGACCGUUGGCCCGGCCGACCGUUGGCUCACCGGACAGUCCGGUGCACACCGGACAGUCCGGUGAAUUUUAGGCGUACGUCGCCGGUGAAUUCCCGAGAGCGGCCAGUUCGCUCGAGCCAGCAUGGCGCACCGGACACUGUCCGAUGCACCACCGGACAGUCCGGUGCCCCAGACCGAAACAGCCUCUUGGCUGUACACAGCCAACUCUUCUCUUUCCUUCUUCUUUCUGUUUCUGAUACUUAGACAAGUAUAUUAGUACACAAAACCAAUGUACUAAGACUUAGAAACAUACCUUUGCUCUUGAUUUGCACUUUGUCCAUUCAUGGGCAUAGAUUUACAUUUAAGCACUUGUGUUGGCACUCAAUCACCAAAAUACUUAGAAAUGGCCCAAGGGCACAUUUCCCUUUCAUGGAUAAAUAAGUGGGGGUGAGCAAUAAAUUUCAUCCUAGAUUUAGAAGGAAUAAAUAUAUCACUAAAUACGUUUUUUUUUACAAUGGCAAGUUAAUCAGGUGGGAGCGAGAAACAAUUCUAGCGAGGCUAGGUUGUACUAGCCCAAAAUUACAUACAACAGAGGAAAAAUGAAGAAAAUGAUGGUCUACCAAAUAUGGCGCAUGAGCCUUAAGGUGCACCUAGAGGGAAGUAGAAGAAUAAAUAUAUAAUAGCAUAUGUUUUUCGCAAUGCAAGGUAAAGUGUAGAUGUGCUCUAACUGGGCUUAGAUUGCAGCGACACAUUAUGCAUCUACAAGGCUUGGUUGCACAUGGAAAAAGAUAGAGAGAGAAAUGUAGACGCAGGACCGGGAGAAAACAUUCAAUGAGACGUGAUUGCACGGACAUAGAACUAGAUAUAAGACAAGAGUUAAAGAAAAAAAGGAACUAAAUUUUCUUGUGCACACUAAGCAUGAAUGGAGUUGUAGUAUCUGAGAUCAAAAUUUAAUUUAUUCCAAGAUGCAGAACAAAAACGUGAUAUUCGUAAUGGUUACAUAGGAACAAAAGUAGAUAAGAAAAAUAGCAAAAAGAUAGUGGUCUACCAGAGAGGGCACAUGUGCCUCAAUUGGCCUAUAGCAUAGUGGCUCAUUAUCCUUCCACCGCUGGUGGCGGGCGGUACUCGCUGCUCUGUGAAGCCAGCCUCACGCAAUGUCCGCCACUUUAGGUGUUGGGAUGCAAAGGCUUUCGCCAAGGCAUCCGAAACCCACUACACAACUUGGAAUGGGUGGUCCACAAUUUGUAGCACUAGACCCAUACACAUGCACCACAAUUGAUAUCCACACUACCUUAUUGCCCCCGCUCGGGUUACAAGCAAUCGCUACU